AUUGAACGCUGGCGGCAUGCCUUACACAUGCAAGUCGAACGGUAACGCGGGGCAACCUGGCGACGAGUGGCGAACGGGUGAGUAACGCAUCGGAACGUGCCCAGUAGUGGGGGAUAGCCCGGCGAAAGCCGGAUUAAUACCGCAUACGACCUACGGGUGAAAGAGGGGGAUCGCAAGACCUCUCGCUAUUGGAGCGGCCGAUGUCAGAUUAGGUAGUUGGUGGGGUAAAGGCCUACCAAGCUUACGAUCUGUAGCUGGUCUGAGAGGACGACCAGCCAAACUGGGACUGAGCACCGGCCCCGACUCCUACGGGAGGCAGCAGUGGGGAAUUUUGGACAAUGGGCGCAAGCCUGAUCCAGCCAUGCCGCGUGCGGGAAGAAGGCCUUCGGGUUGUAAACCGCUUUUGUCAGGGAAGAAACGCUCUGGACUAAUACUCUGGGGUAAUGACGGUACCUGAAGAAUAAGCACCGGCUAACUACGUGCCAGCAGCCGCCGUAA
rnacentral:rRNA from 1 species